GCCUUCGUGGUAUGGUGGUUAUGCACGCUGGGCCGAUAUCCCAGAGGUCCGUGGUUCGAUUCCCGGCGAAGGCA
rnacentral:tRNA from 1 species